GGGGGUUUAGCUCAGUUGGUAGAGCGUUCGCUUAGCAUUUUCAGGAUGUCUAAUUUGCGAAAGGUCGCGUGUUCGACUCAUGCAGUCUCCA
rnacentral:tRNA from 1 species